GGUGGUAAUGCCGGAUGCUCCAUCACACUGCAUGGUGUGUUGGGAAAGCCUUUGCGGCAUGGGAUGGGGUCGCGUCCUAUCAGCUUGAUGGCGGGGUAACGGCCCACCAUGGCUUCGACGGGUAGCCGGCCUGAGAGGGCGACCGGCCACAUUGGGACUGAGAUACGGCCCAGACUCCUACGGGAGGCAGCAGUGGGGAAUAUUGCACAAUGGGCGCAAGCCUGAUGCAGCGACGCCGCGUGAGGGAUGGAGGCCUUCGGGUUGUAAACCUCUUUUGUUAGGGAGCAAGGCAUUUUGUGUUGAGUGUACCUUUCGAAUAAGCACCGGCUAACUACGUGCCAGCAGCCGCGGUAAUACGUAGGGUGCAAGCGUUAUCCGGAAUUAUUGGGCGUAAAGGGCUCGUAGGCGGUUCGUCGCGUCCGGUGUGAAAGUCCAUCGCUUAACGGUGGAUCCGCGCCGGGUACGGGCGGGCUUGAGUGCGGUAGGGGAGACUGGAAUUCCCGGUGUAACGGUGGAAUGUGUAGAUAUCG
rnacentral:rRNA from 1 species